AUGCUUCUCAAACCUUACCUCUUGAUCGCUCCGCUCGUCAUGCUCCUCAUGGCAGCCGGUCACUGCUGCCUCGCGGCCACCGGCAGCGGCGGCAGCGAUGACGGUCGGCAGUUCGCUCUCAACGGCUUCGCGGGUGCGAACCUGACGCUCGGCGGCGCGAGCAUGGUCAUGCCGAACGGCCUGCUCAUGCUGACCAACGGUGCCACCAGAAAGAUGAAGGGCCAUGCCUUCCACCCGCCCUUGCUGCUGUUCGGCUCCGGGUCAAACGGCACCGGCCCUGUGCGGUCCUUCUCGACCACCUUCGUCUUAGCCAUCUUCGGCCACGGCCAGCACGCCGACCUUAGCGUCCGCGGCCUGGCCUUUUUCAUCUCUUCGUCCUCGGAGGUGCUCUCCGCUGCGUUGUCAGGCCAGCCCUUGGGCCUCAGCAAUGGCAACCAGAGCGCCAACAUCUUUGCCAUGGAGUUCGACACGCUCUAUAAUGCCCAGUUCAAUGACAUCAAGAACAAGUACGUCUGCGUCGACGGUGAUAGUCUGGUGUCCCUCAAUUCCGCCAACACCGGGUACUACGACGACGGCACCGGGCGGCUACUAAACCUAUCUGUGAUAAGCUGGAAAGCUAUUCAAGUGUGGGUGGACUACAACAGCAAGGCAAUGGUGAUCAGUAUGACCAUGGCUCCGUUGGGUGUGGUCAGGCCCAAGAGGCCCAUGCUGCAGACCACCAUCGACCUCUCUGGCGUGGUGCAGAGCACGGCAUACGUCGGCUUCUCGUCGGUGAUGCGCAAUAUCACCUCCGGACACUUCAUCCUCGGCUGGAGCUUCGCGCUGGAUGGGCCGGCCCCGGUUCUUGACAUCUCGGUGCUGCCGGCCUUGCCAUCAGCCUGGACGAAGACCAACUGGUCCAACUCACCGCCCAUUUCCAUGUCGCUGAAGCUCGUGCUGGCCUUAGCGUCGUUGACGCUGGUUUCAGUUGGCAUCGGAAUCUACGUCACUGUAAGAUGGCGUCUCAAUUGCUUCGAGGUGCAAGAGGACUGGGAGGUUUCGUUAGGCCCCAAGAGAUUCUCUUAUGAAGUCUUGUUUCACGCGACAGAGGGGUUCAAUGAGAAGAACCUGCUCGGGAGGGGAGGUUUCGGGAGUGUUUAUAAGGGCGUGAUUCACAAGCCUGACAUAGAGGUCGCCGUGAAGAGAAUGUCACACGAUUCAAGGCAAGGGGUAAAGGAGUUCAUUGCCGAGGUGGUUAGCAUUGGUCGUCUUCGACACCGAAAUAUCGCACAAUUAUUGGGCUACUGCAGGCGUAAAGGUGAACUUCUCCUGAUUUAUGACUACAUGAAAAAUGGUAGUCUUGACAAGUACCUACACACAAGAAAUGGCCCAACUCUAUGCUGGUCCGAGAGGUACUCAAUCAUCAAAGGUGUGGCAUCAAGUUUGUUGUAUCUACAUGAGGAAUGGGAGCAGGUCAUCAUCCACCGAGAUAUAAAGGCAAGUAAUGUGCUCUUGGACAGCAAGAUGAAUGGGCGGUUGGGUGAUUUUGGUCUUGCAAGGAUAUAUGACCAUGAAACUGCUGCUCAAACCACCCAUGUGGCUGGCACCAUGGGAUAUCUUGCGCCAGAACUUUUGCGUGCCGGGAGGCCAACACCUUUCUCUGAUGUAUAUGCAUUUGGCAUGUUUCUCCUAGAGGUCACAUGUGGACGAAGGCCAAUCUUCAUCAAUGAGCAAAACAACCGGGUAUUGUUGGUCGAGUGGCUGCUUGAGCACCACCACAACAGCUCAAUGCUCGACACAGUGGAUCCACGACUCGGAGGGGAAUUCAACAUGAAGGAGGUAACCAUCGUGCUCAAAUUGGGUUUGCUAUGCACAUACCCAUCGCCCAACGCGCGGCCUGUCAUGCGAAAGGUCAUGCAGUACCUUGACCAUGACCAAUCGCCUCCUGAUUUAUCACCGGCCUACAUAAGCUACAUCAUGAUGGCCCAAAUGCAAAAUGAAGGGUUUGAUUCACACAACAUGCCAUGUUCUCAGCCGGCAAGGAGUGUUGCCACCGUGUCGGGUGAGUCUUCAGUGACAAUUUUGCGAGAGGGAAGAUGA
rnacentral:rRNA from 1 species